rnacentral:lncRNA from 1 species
GAAGAUUUAAUCACUACUUCUAAGUGAACAUCAGCAGAACUAAACAUGGUUCAACAGGAUGUGCCAAGUUCAACCAACAGGGAACAAGCUUUUCCCCACUCUCUGGACCUGGUUGGCCUCCCCAGCCAUUAUGGGAGAGAACUGCUCCUCACUAGCAGCUGGAAAAGACCAGAACAGCUGGGAGACUGCAGUUACAGCUCAGUGUCUGACUAUAUCCUUGCAUUUAGUGACUGCAAAAGAGAUUGUCUUAGAGGAUACCUGCAACUUUUAGCAAUUGUGUUUGCUAAGGAAAUGCAUUCACUUUAUACUCUUUCAUAGCCCUCUAAAGCUACUUUUAUGAAAAUGUCAUUUUUAUUUUAGAUACUGCCAUCAAAAAUAGACAGAAGAAUGUAAAAUGUAUAUACAGGGCUGUGAUUGCUGAACAGAUUGUUUAAGUUAGAGAAACUCUAUAUUUUAUAGUUGUACAAAUAACUCAGAGUUGUUUGGAUUAUGAAACUAAAGAUAACAUGGAAGCUGUAAAAAGACAUUAUGAAAGAAAGAGUGAUUAAAAAAUACCUCUCAGUAGUCUUCCGUAUGCCUUAGAACUUGCCACCAGAAGUGCAAAAUUGUGUCAAGUUUAAUUUCUAGAGAGAUUUUGAAAUCAUUCUGUUUGCUCAUCUUCUUAUUUUUUCUUAUAAUGCUUUACAAUUCAUUUUUGCAGAAGAGUUUAUUUAUUAAAAAUACUAUAAAAGCUUUUACUCCUGGUCAGAAAUUGUUUCCCAAUAACUCACAAUAUUUACUUAUUUUUCUAUUAUCCUGAAUUUAGGGAGGCUUUGUGUAAAGUAUUUAAUUCUAUAAAGUAAUUACAAACUAUUUGCACAAUACUUACAGAAACUUGCUAUUGAGCUGUGUGGUUGCUUGCUUUAGCCCUGUGGUCUUGUUUCUUUCCUAAUCUGGAUGACUCUACCUCAGAAAAAUGUAAAAGGCCCUUAAGGAUGAGCUCCAGCAUGAAGACUGGAGUUAUCUUAUGAAUGGUGUCAAAAGUGACAGCAAGCUCCAAAAUCAACCUGGAAAGUUGCCACUUCACCGGAUGAAGAACCAGUCCAGCAACUG